AACGAACGCUGGCGGCAGGCCUAACACAUGCAAGUCGAACGCUGUAGCAAUACAGAGUGGCGCACGGGUGAGUAACGCGUAGGAAUCUACCCAUUAGCCUGGGAUAACAGCGGGAAACUGCUGCUAAUGCCGGAUACGCCCUUCGGGGGAAAGGUUUACUACUAAUGGAUGAGCCUGCGUUAGAUUAGCUAGUUGGUGAGGUAAUGGCUCACCAAGGCUCCGAUCUAUAGCCGGUCUGAGAGGACGAUCGGCCACACUGGGACUGAGACACGGCCCAGACUCCUACGGGAGGCAGCAGUGGGGAAUAUUGGGCAAUGGACGCAAGUCUGACCCAGCCAUGCCGCGUGUGUGAUGAAGGCCUUAGGGUUGUAAAGCACUUUUAGUAGUGAAGAUGAUGACAGUAGCUACAGAAAAAGCCCCGGCUAACUUCGUGCCAGCAGCCGCGGUAA
rnacentral:rRNA from 1 species